AGUGGUAGAGCACUAGCCUAGAACAAAAAAGUUCAGGGACACUGCCCAGGCCCUGAGUUCAAGCUCUACAAACAAAAUGCGCUAUUGGAUUGGAAGUGUGACUGAUGAAAAGGGCAGAUGAUGAUAAAGCUAGAAAUAAAUAAGCAACAGCCAAGAAGAAGCCAGUUACUCAGCUUUACUGAUCUUACUAGCAGUUGUAUUGUGAGCAGAGGCAGGAAAUACUUCUGUGAAUGUUAGCUGUUUCCUCAGUGUAAGACAUACUCACUGGCCCCUGCCUAGUAAACAAACUUUAGGGCUCUCCCAAGUUUCAAGCAUUUGUUUCUACCUUUCCUAACCUCAAUCAGUCUCCUGCCACUACAGUGUUCACAUUUUGAACCUACUACAAAAAUAGCAUUUAUCGUGUCAUACUUAUAGUACAUCAUAUUUUUAUGUCGGUUUCUCCCACACAGAAGUAAGGAACCUUUUUUCUGCCAGCAGCCAUCUGGGUAUUUAUAACAGCAUUAUAGUCCCUAAGAAAUUAUCAAUACAGGUAAACAGACCUCAGGCAAGUGACGAAAAGCAUUGUAUGUCUGUCUUAGGUUGUCUUAUAUGUCCAGAUGGUCAGUAUUUUUUAUGAUAGCAUCUAUUUAACACUAAAUGUACUAUUAGUAAUGGGUAUUCAGAAAAUGCUUGAUAAAUGACAAUAACUAUUUUAAGAAAUUCUGGGGCUGGGGAUAUGGCCUAGUGGCAAGAGAGCUUGCCUCGUAUAC